rnacentral:rRNA from 1 species
GCCAGACUCCUACGGGAGGCAGCAGUGGGGAAUAUUGCACAAUGGGGGGAACCCUGAUGCAGCGACGCCGCGUGGGUGAAGAAGCGCCUGGCGCGUAAAGCCCUGUCAGCAGGGAAGAAAAUGACGGUACCUGAAGAAGAAGCCCCGGCUAACUACGUGCCAGCAGCCGCGGUAAUACGUAGGGGGCAAGCGUUAUCCGGAUUUACUGGGUGUAAAGGGGGCGCAGACGGCGAUGCAAGCCAGGAGUGAAAGCCCGGGGCCCAACCCCGGGACUGCUCUUGGAACUGCGUGGCUGGAGUGCAGGAGGGGCAGGCGGAAUUCCUGGUGUAGCGGUGAAAUGCGUAGAUAUCAGGAGGAACACCGGUGGCGAAGGCGGCCUGCUGGACUGCAACUGACGUUGAGGCCCGAAAGCGUGGGGAGCAAACAGGAUUAGAUACCCUAGUAU